CGCUGGCGGCGUGCCUAAUACAUGCAAGUCGAGCGGACAUCUUCGGAUGUUAGCGGCGGACGGGUGAGUAACACGUGGGCAAUCUGCCUGGCAGACUGGAAUAACAUCCGGAAACGGGUGCUAAUGCCGGAUAGGCAGCGAAGAGGCAUCUCUUUGCUGAGAAAGGUGCUACGGCACUACUGACAGAGGAGCCCGCGGCGCAUUAGCUAGUUGGUGGGGUAACGGCUCACCAAGGCGACGAUGCGUAGCCGACCUGAGAGGGUGACCGGCCACACUGGGACUGAGACACGGCCCAGACUCCUACGGGAGGCAGCAGUAGGGAAUCUUCCGCAAUGGGCGCAAGCCUGACGGAGCAACGCCGCGUGAGCGAAGAAGGCCUUCGGGUUGUAAAGCUCAGUCAUUCGGGAAGAGCGGGUAGGAGAGGGAAUGCUCCUGCCGAGACGGUACCGGAAGAGGAAGCCCCGGCUAACUACGUG
rnacentral:rRNA from 1 species